rnacentral:rRNA from 1 species
CCUACGGGAGGCUGCAGUGGGGAAUAUUGGACAAUGGGGGGAACCCUGAUCCAGCCAUGCCGCGUGUGUGAAGAAGGCCCUCGGGUUGUAAAGCACUUUCAGUGAGGAAGAACGCCUGGUGGUUAAUACCCAUCAGGAAAGACAUCACUCACAGAAGAAGCACCGGCUAACUCCGUGCCAGCAGCCGCGGUAAUACGGAGGGUGCGAGCGUUAAUCGGAAUUACUGGGCGUAAAGCGCGCGUAGGUGGCUUGACAAGCCGGUUGUGAAAGCCCCGGGCUCAACCUGGGAACGGCAUCCGGAACUGGCAAGCUAGAGUGCAGGAGAGGAAGGUAGAAUUCCCGGUGUAGCGGUGAAAUGCGUAGAGAUCGGGAGGAAUACCAGUGGCGAAGGCGGCCUUCUGGACUGACACUGACACUGAGGUGCGAAAGCGUGGGUAGCAAACAGGAUUAGAUACCCUGGUAGUC